rnacentral:rRNA from 1 species
GAACCUUCGGGGAACGUUAAGGGCGUCGAGCGGCGGACGGGUGAGUAAUGCCUAGGAAAUUGCCCUGAUGUGGGGGAUAACCAUUGGAAACGAUGGCUAAUACCGCAUGAUGCCUACGGGCCAAAGAGGGGGACCUUCGGGCCUCUCGCGUCAGGAUAUGCCUAGGUGGGAUUAGCUAGUUGGUGAGGUAAUGGCUCACCAAGGCGACGAUCCCUAGCUGGUCUGAGAGGAUGAUCAGCCACACUGGAACUGAGACACGGUCCAGACUCCUACGGGAGGCAGCAGUGGGGAAUAUUGCACAAUGGGCGCAAGCCUGAUGCAGCCAUGCCGCGUGUGUGAAGAAGGCCUUCGGGUUGUAAAGCACUUUCAGUCGUGAGGAAGGUGGUGUUGUUAAUAGCACUAUCAUUUGACGUUAGCGACAGAAGAAGCACCGGCUAACUCCGUGCCAGCAGCCGCGGUAAUACGGAGGGUGCGAGCGUUAAUCGGAAUUACUGGGCGUAAAGCGCAUGCAGGUGGUUUGUUAAGUCAGAUGUGAAAGCCCGGGGCUCAACCUCGGAAUAGCAUUUGAAACUGGCAGACUAGAGUACUGUAGAGGGGGGUAGAAUUUCAGGUGUAGCGGUGAAAUGCGUAGAGAUCUGAAGGAAUACC